GCCAGUGUGGUAUAGUGGCUUGAACAAUGGACUAGGACUCUGGAGAUCAGGGUUCAAAUUCCCACUCAGCCA